GGGCCCGCACAAGCGGUGGAGUAUGUGGUUUAAUUCGACGCAACGCGAAAAACCUUACCUGGGUUUGACAUGCUUUUGAAUAUUGUAGAGAUAUAAUAGUCCGCAAGGACAAAAGCACAGGUGCUGCAUGGCUGUCGUCAGCUCGUGUCGUGAGAUGUUGGGUUAAGUCCCGCAACGAGCGCAACCCUUAUCCUUAAUUGCUAACUCUGUUUACAGAGAGGACUUUAAGGAGACUGCCUGGGAUAACCAGGAGGAAGGCGGGGAUGACGUCAAGUCCUCAUGGCCCUUAUGUCCAGGGCUACACACGUACUACAAUGGCUGAUACAAAGGGUUGCAAUAUCGUAAGAUGGAGCUAAUCCCAUAAAGUCAGUCUCAGUUCGGAUUGUGGGCUGCAACUCGCCCACAUGAAGUCGGAAUCGCUAGUAAUCGUGGAUCAGCAUGCCACGGUGAAUACGUUCCCGGGCCUU
rnacentral:rRNA from 1 species